rnacentral:rRNA from 1 species
CCAAUAGCGUAUAUUAAAGUUGUUGCAGUUAAAAAGCUCGUAGUUGAAUUUCGGGAUCAAUAUGUCGGUCGUGCCUCGGUACGUACUGGCGUAAUUGGUUUCUCCCUUCUGAAGAACCUCGAUGUCAUUAAUUUGGUGUCGUGGGGAAUCAGGACUGUUACUUUGAAAAAAUUAGAGUGUUUAAAGCAGGCUCGCGCUUGAAUACAUUAGCAUGGAAUAAUGAGAUAGGACGUUUGUUUCUAUUUUGUUGGUUUCUAGGAUCGACGUAAUGAUUAAUAGGGAUAGUUGGGGGCAUUAGUAUUCAAUUGUCAGAGGUGAAAUUCUUGGAUUUAUUGAAGACUAACUACUGCGAAAGCAUUUGCCAAGGAUGUUUUCAUUAAUCAAGAACGAAAGUUAGGGGAUCGAAGACGAUCAGAUACCGUCGUAGUCUUAACCAUAAACUAUGCCGACUAGGGAUCGGAUGAUGUUAAUUUUUUAAUGACUCAUUCGGCGCCUUACG